rnacentral:misc_RNA from 1 species
GAAAUGCGAUACGUAAUGUGAAUUGCAAAUUCAGUGAAUCAUCGAGUCUUUGAACGCACAUUGCGCCCCCUGGUAUUCCGGGGGGCAUGCCUGUCCGAGCGUCAUUUCUGCCCUCAAGCACGGCUUGUGUGUUGGGCCCCGUCCUCCGAUCCCGGGGGACGGGCCCGAAAGGCAGCGGCGGCACCGCGUCCGGUCCUCGAGCGUAUGGGGCAUUGUCACCCGCUCUGUAGGCCCGGCCGGCGCUUGCCGAUCAACCCAAAUUUUUAUCCAGGUUGACCUCGGAUCAGGUAGGGAUACCCGCUGAACUUAAGC